UGGGGAAUAUUGGGCAAUGGGGGAAACCCUGACCCAGCAACGCCGCGUGAAGGAAGAAGGCCUUCGGGUUGUAAACUUCCUUUACCAGGGACGAAGGAAGUGACGGUACCUGGAGAAAAAGCAACGGCUAACUACGUGCCAGCAGCCGCGGUAAUACGUAGGUUGCGAGCGUUGUCCGGAUUUACUGGGUGUAAAGGGCGUGUAGGCGGAGAAGCAAGUUGGGAGUGAAAUCUAUGGGCUCAACCCAUAAACUGCUCUCAAAAACUGUUUCCCUUGAGUAUCGGAGAGGCAAGCGGAAUUCCUAGUGUAGCGGUGAAAUGCGUAGAUAUUAGGAGGAACACCAGUGGCGAAGGCGGCUUGCUGGACGACAACUGACGCUGAGGCGCGAAAGCGUGGGGAGCAAACAGGAUUAGAUACC
rnacentral:rRNA from 1 species